rnacentral:tRNA from 1 species
GCAGGAUUGGUGUAGUGGUUGUAAGUCAUUGAGGGUUCUGAGGUUCAUCCCAACGUUACUAACUCUUCCAAGAUCACGCAUCGUUCACAGUUGCAAUCAACGCAAGUUCCGAUGAGGUCGCGAGUUCAAUCCUCGCAUCCUGUA